rnacentral:rRNA from 1 species
UACGUAGGGUGCAAGCGUUAAUCGGAAUUACUGGGCGUAAAGCGCGCGCAGGCGGUUCUUCAAGUCAGUGGUGAAAGCCCGGAGCUCAACUCCGGAUUGCCAAUUGAAACUGUAGAACUUGAGGAUGAGAGAGGUGAGUGGAAUUCCCAGUGUAGAGGUGAAAUUCGUAGAUAUUGGGAAGAACACCGGUGGCGAAGGCGGCUCACUGGCUCAUUUCUGACGCUCAGGCGCGAACAGCGUGGGGAUCGAAACAGG